GGGAAGGUGGCUCAGUGGUAGAGCUCUUGCCUUGUAUGCCUGAGGCCCUGGGUUCGAUUCCCCAGCGCCA
rfam:Dipodomys ordii contig_71570, whole genome shotgun sequence.